GGGAGAGGGACCAAGACAAAGGGAGCUCAGGAGAGGGAAAGGUCUGGGGCAGGUUUUACAUUUUCAAGAGACAGCCUGAUUGGCUCACUUCGAUCAAGUGUACAGUUCUGAUCCAAUCAAUUCUGGCCAAGGGUCAGGCCCCAAGCAUACAACAUGAGUGGCCAAUUGACUUGUGGCCAGUUCUUCAGCAGGGGCUGCCAAAACAGGUGCUGUGGAUGGGACAGACAUCAUGAGUUAUCUAUGAUUGUGGCCUGAGGCCAAUGGGGCAGCAUGCAAGAAAAUUGUUAUUGACAAGGGAGUGAAGAAAGGAAGAGUUCAGAGGAUACUUGAGCUAAAGUGUGUGCCAUGAUGAAAUGAAAAUGAAGAGGAGGAUGUCAUUCCUCCAUUCUCUCACUCACCCAUUUAAUAAGCCCCAUGAGCCUACAAUGUGCAAGAAACUAUACAAGAUAAUAAAGAUACAAUGGUGAAAAAGA